UAGUAAACAAACAGCCUUGAGUUGCCAGCUGUCUCCAGUAGUGUUCAAAGAAUCUUGAACGAGACUGUACAAAGGAGCUUGUAGUCUUAUGUGGAUACUGGUCUGAGAGGGUUUCUGUGGCAAAUGUUGACACAAUAUGCACACUUUUGUUGUCAUUCACUUGACAUAUGGAACUUCUGUAUCUGAACCUGUACUUUUUACUUCUGAGCCUCUACCUUUUCUCAAUAGCACUUUAUCAACAUCCUUUCCUUUUUUACUCUUGGUUAAAGGUGGGACAAACACAUUCCCACAACACCAAGAUGUCUGAUAAAAGUCAAGGAGAUGAACCAGCUAUAAUAAAAUUUAGUACUGUACAUUGUUGAAACACCUUCAGGUCUAGCACUCCAGGAUCAUCCACAAAGUCUAAUCUUCCCUGUGUAAGGCAAGAAAUCAUGUCGUAUACUUACUCUCUGCCAAAAGAAUCAGUUUGCAGCCCCAUUUGUGAGGCUUACCAGGGUUGCUGGUGUGUUAUCCAGGAUGGGUGUGUGUAAAGCUCAUGGACCGGAUGGAAUUACCCCCUCGCGUUCUGAGGGAGUGUGCUGAAGUUCUGGUCCCUGUGCUUGCUUGCCUCUUCCGCCUUUGCCUCAAAACCCAAAUUUGUCCUCUAGUUGUGUAAGUUGACUUUUGUUGAUAAAUAAAACUGUUACUGUACUGUA